rnacentral:misc_RNA from 1 species
GAUCUCUCCCCUUACUGAUUCACUCCCCAAGUUAAAAAUAAAUAAAAAUCUAAACAGUAUAUCCGAGGGGCACACCUUAGAUAUCGGAAAAGCAUUGAAUAUUUUGUUUAAUCGAGACGUCUCCUUGAGCUGUGCAAGCAUUAAAUGUACAGGGCUAUAUAUAGAUGGGGGAGGGGGCUAUCAUUUGAUAUUUCUGUAGUCUCUCUUCUCUCAAAUCUCCGGCGAGUUUUCUCUUGUUCUUGUUCUCCAGCGACGAAGUUUUCAUCGAAGGUAUAGUUUUGAUCCUUUUCCGUUUAUAUUUUUUCUUUCUUCUCCUGAAAAUGAGUGGUAAUGAUAACGAGAGGACAGCUAGCCCACCAUCGGUGAAUGUUU